rnacentral:rRNA from 1 species
UACGUAGGGGGCAAGCGUUGUCCGGAAUCAUUGGGCGUAAAGCGCGCGUAGGCGGCCCGGUAAGUCCGUUGUGAAAGUCAAAGGCUCAACCUUUGAACGCCGAUGGAUACUGCCGGGCUAGAGUCCGGAAGAGGCGAGUGGAAUUCCUGGUGUAGCGGUGGAAUGCGCAGAUAUCAGGAGGAACACCGGUGGCGAAGGCGGGUCUCUGGGCAGUGAACUGACGCUGAGGAGCGAAAGCGUGGGGAGCAAACAGG